rnacentral:rRNA from 1 species
GACGAACGCUGGCGGCGUGCCUAAUACAUGCAAGUAGAACGCACAGUUUAUACCGUAGCUUGCUACACCAUAGACUGUGAGUUGCGAACGGGUGAGUAACGCGUAGGUAACCUGCCUGGUAGCGGGGGAUAACUAUUGGAAACGAUAGCUAAUACCGCAUAAUAUUGAUUAUUGCAUGAUAAUUGAUUGAAAGAUGCUAUUGCAUCACUACCAGAUGGACCUGCGUUGUAUUAGCUAGUAGGUGAGGUAACGGCUCACCUAGGCGACGAUACAUAGCCGACCUGAGAGGGUGAUCGGCCAAAAUGGGACUGAGACACGGCCCAGACUCCUACGGGAGGCAGCAGUAGGGAAUCUUCGGCAAUGGACGAAAGUCUGACCGAGCAACGCCGCGUGAGUGAAGAAGGUUGUCGGAUCGUAAAGCUCUGUUGUAAGAGAAGAACGGGUGUGAGAGUGGAAAGUUCACACUGUGACGGUAGCUUACCAGAAAGGGACGGCUAACUACGUG